UUCUGGAAGUUACGUGUUGCUAAAGGACAGCCUACACCUUCUGUAGCUUCUCAGAAUUCUGUUAACAAGAAUGUUCCACCGGCUUUAGAAUGGAAUCAUUCUCCACCAUCCACUUCUCAGCAACCCAUUGGAUCAUCAAAUACAUUUGAAAGAUCUGUUGCAGAGACAACAUAUGAAGUUACCCCACUGGACGAUGAAGGUGAAAUCAAAUCUGUUUAUGUGAGAAACUUGCCACCUACUGUAUCUCCUUUCGAAAUUGAAGAGUAAUUUAAAAAUUUUGGUAAACUAAAGCAACCUGAGAGCGUGGUCAUUAGGAGUCGCAAGGAUGUUGGUGUUUGUUAUGCAUUUGUCAAGUUUGAAGACAUUACCGGUGUUCAAAAUGCAGUCCAGGUUUUCCUUACUAUUAUUAUUUAAUUUAAAACCCAAUACUAUGUGUUUGUUUAUCAAACUUGAAUGCUGAUAAAAUAUUUAUCAUUUUCCUCCUUGAUGAAGUCAGCUUCUAUCUACUUAAUGUUAUUAGUUUUGGAUGAAUGCUAGCUGGCUUUGCUUAUAUUAACUCUAUCUUCUGCCAAAUUUGAAAUUCACUCUCUUAAAAUUAUCUCUGUUGGUAAUGGAUCUUCUGACUGGAUGUCAAUUAAUUAGGAUUGUUCUUUACAACUGUAGGCAACAACUGUUCAGAUUGCUGGACGACAAGUAUACAUUGAAGAGCGCAGACAAAAUAGCAACAUCCCAUCUCGAUUAGCAAUUCAUCGAAGAAGGUGUAGAGGAGAAUAAUACUGAUACUGGUGAAGGAACUGGUGAUGAUGAAUGCAUCUCUAUUAUUAAUGAACGAAACAUAGAAAAUGUAGGUUCUUUGCACUUGCAAGAUCAGGACGAGUGGACAUUAGAUUGUGCUGAGGCAGGGGAGCUAGAGGACAGAGCACAUUAUCGCCAGGCCGGUGAAAGCAGUGUACCUGAAACUUAAGAUACAAAUGACGAGUGUCUCUUCACACAUUAAGCGAAAGACCGAAAGGAAUGAAAAAAUUUCAAGUGGGAAAUAGUCAAUUGCCCUCGUCAAACAUCGUCAGUAGAGUGCGGCUUUUAUAUCAUAAGGAUAAUGAAAGACUAUUGCUUGAAUGAGAUACACAUGCGAUGGCUAACUACUAAUUGUGGUGGGAAGAAUACAUAUACACUAGGUGAAAUUAAUGAAACUCGAAAUGAAUGGGCAGCCAAGCUUCUUGAGCGGAUGAGUCAUAGCUAGAGUAAUUUUUUAAAUCUGAAUUAAAAAAUAUACUAAUUGCAGUAUUUAGUUAGCACUUACAUAGUUAUUCUAAGUGUAUAUUUUGAUUUUGUAAUUUUUAAAUUUGGAACAUACUAAGUCCUAUUGAUUUAAUCUGCCUAUUGAUUUUGUCUGAACUAUGUUGUAGUUACAGAAAUUAUGAAUGAAUAUAGUGGUUGAAAAUAAAGAAAUGAAAAAAUUCUCAUAUUCUA